GUUCUUUGAUUCUCGACCCGGACCGCCUAUAUGUGAACCGUCGGGUUCGCCCGACUAUGGAGAUAAACGCGCGUGUAAUAAGCGGACUGGACCCGGGUGCGAUUCCCGGCGGCUCCACCAAAUUUCCUUCCGGGUUCUCGCCGGGCCACUCUUGAGGGGAAUUUGGGGGGCCGAUCAGCAUCGACAGACGUCUAAAGGCGUUGCUUUCUCUCGGCCUGACCCACCGUUCCGGGUUUUAAACUAAAUGCGAACGAUAACUUCGCUGAGGAAAUCCGCCUCGCCGCGUAAUGCGGUUCGGUAGAAUUCCGACCUAAGUCCUAGGGGUUCAGAUCCUUAGGCGGGGCCCGGGAGGCGCCUGCCAACAGAAGCCUCCCACC
rnacentral:tmRNA from 1 species